AAUACUAUCGGGGUAGGUGUAUUCCAAGAAUUGCCCAGGUUUAUCUCUUUUUUGACUCAGGGUUAAGAUGUGUCAGAAUCACUAUCAUAUAAACGGACUUGAACUCUAAACAUUCCUAUAUCAAAAGCAGAGAAGACAUUUUAUAUUUCAAAUUUUUUAUAGCAACGGCGUGCGUGCAUCUAUAUGUGACCCUACAAACAGUAUAAACUUCAUCCUGAGUACAUUUUUGCAAUGAUAAUUAAUGGAUACAUUUAGGUAUCCUGUUUCUCAUGAUUCAUUCUGCACAUAUUGUAGAACACUCAACUUCAUCUACUCUGGUCCACUGAUAAGUUAUUUAAUGUUUAGGCAUUUUUAUAGCGGAAUUGUACCAGGACAUAAAAAAAUUCAAAUUCCUUGAUUAUAGGUUUUAUCAAAUUCUACAAGAUUGUAUGUACAUUCUUGGGAGGCUAGUAGGGGAAAAAAGCUACAUUUCUACAUUAAUUAUUUUACAUCUUGGGGUCACAGUUGAAGGAUUGUCUGUUGCCUCCUCCUUUCUACUAACUCCGACCUUUGAUAGUGAACAGCUUGAAUAGGGAAUAAGGUCGUCCGGAGUCGCGAUAAGGAGGGGGGGGGGGGGAGUUGUAAACCCCCUUCGAGGAUGAACCGCGAUGCGGUGUACAGAGGCGAAGGGGGCAUCGUAACUUUUCUCAGGGACCAGAGAUUACUGACGUUUUUCCUAAGCCGCUGAAGCAGACCAUGAUGGAGGUUUUAGCUACAAACAUAUCUAUGAUUUUAGUCAUUAAAAAUCUGAGACUACCCCGCAUCUUCUCCUUAAAGGGUUCCAGUGACUAUGAAAAUUUAGAAAAAAAGGUCACAGGUCGUGGAAUCUUUCGUAUUUUCUUCCUCCCUCCGCUUUAUGCUUCAUCAUUUUCCUGGAAAAUUUGAUGAUUUUAAGAAUUUGUAAUUCUGGAAUUGGAAUAAGUGGUAAAUCCUGUUAAAGGUAGAUGGGGGAAAAUAGACAAAUGCAAGUAAGAAAAUGGGAUGAGAAAAAGUAAUAAAAAAGGAGUAAGUAAAAUAGAUAAUUAUCUGACUAGAAAUUUAGGAAAAUUGAAAAUUACAAAAAUUGGUUACAGAUAAGUAAUAAACUACAUCAGGUAAAGUUAUAAUAGAUAAAUAACGUAAUUUAUGUAUCUUUUUUCCAUAUAUUUAUUAGUUUUAGUUUAUUGAAAACAGUUAAUUUUUUUUAUAUUUCUUAUUCUCAUAAUGAGUAGAACUUCAAUGCAAAAAAACUAAUCUUUAAUUUCUGAGCCAAGAUUAACUUUGCAGCACCUUUGGUGGCUUAAUUUCUACCAGAACAAAAAUGUAAAAUCUAUUUGUAACAUAACAUAACAUACUUUUUAUAUAUCUGGCACAUGUAUUUUAUAUAAAUAUUUGUAUAUCUCAAUAAAAAGUAUUGAUUCACCAA